UGCUAAGCAUAUCGCCUGUGCCCUAAUAAUGACAAAAUGAUAGAUAAAUUAUAGAAUCAUUAUUUUUGUUGAGCCCAUGGGACAGAUGAGGUUGUGAGGCAGCCAAGCAGGAAGUCCCUCCGAGGAGAGAGCGGCUUCACAAACCGUCUCUGCUCUGGCAGAGCACAGGGAGCAGAGGCACCUCCUCUGUCCACCUGGAGGAAGAAAACGGCUGAGUUGUAACACAUGUGGGUGAGUGUGUGAAGCUGGAAAAGCUGAGGUAGCGGAGGAGUUCCCACUCAACUACAGACUCUGCCACAGACUUCUGCCAGGUGCUCACAGAAAUAUUGGGGGGCAGAACGAGACUGGCUUUUGCCAGCCCACCUCUGAGGUGCAAGCAGGGGGAGCCAGUCACUGGAUGCUGGGGACACAGAAUGCCAUGAACUUCCCUGGAUUUUUCUCCCUUAGGGAGCAAAAGCUCUAAGCUACUAGGGGUCAGGCAGCAAACUCAGUUGCCCACAGAGUUCAGAGGGAUCAGUGGAUGUGUGGCCCAAAGCCCUGACUGCUUCCCUGGACAGUUUUCCCUGGAUAGUAGACUACAGCCUCAAGUUUCUGGGGUAGCAGAGUCUGUCAAUCCCAGGGCAGACAGACAAGAUGCUUUGUUUAAUAGCUGCAUAAAAAGCCUUUGAUAACAUUGAACAUCCAUUUAUAAUAAAAACUCUCAGCAAACUAGAACUUCCUCAGUCUGAUAAAGGACAUCUACAAAAACCUUACAGCUAUCAUCAUGCUUAACAGUGGAAGAUUGAAUCUAUAAAUUGUGGUACGUCCCUGCAGUGGAAUAUUUCUUAUCAAUAAAGUGGAUGAACUCCUGGUACAAGCAGUGGAGUGGUUGAAUCUCAAAAGCAUUGUGCCGAACCUAGCAGAGUGGUGGAAGGAACUCUGGGUUAAAUCCCAGUAUAGUGAGAAGAGAGAAGGCUCUGGAGACAAACUUUCUAGGUUUGAGACCCCAGCUCUGCCACUUCUUGGGUGUGUCGACUUGGAAGGCAUCUCUGCCACGGUGGCAUUUGAACAGAGACUGAAGGAAUCUGUGGAAAGCAGCUGUGUAGUGAUCUGGAAGAGCAUUCCUGGCAGAGGGAGCAGCUGAUGCAAAGCCCUGAGUGUGUCAGGGGGGACACUUGGAUCAUCUUCUCUUCCAUCUUGUGAAGGAGAAACCUCUUCCACGUGUUGGCGAGGCUCUUUGGCAUCCUGCCCUAGGAGGAUAUAGCCAGGUCUGAUGAGGAAGGUAGGGAUCUACUCCUCUGGCCGGGGCUUGUGUGGGGAGAGGUGGCAGGGGUGACAGGGCUGGGCAUGUGGGCCCACAUCUCCCCUCGUGGACUUUGGGUGGAGUGAGCAGGGGU